GUCCUUUUGUUUAUUUAUUUAAGGUCUGACCUGCCCAAUGAGGAAUUCAAUGGCCGCAGUAUUUUAACUGUGCUAAGGUAGCAUAAUCAUUUGUCUUUUAAUUGAGGGCUGGAAUGAAAGGUUGGACGAGAUAUUGACUUUCUUUAGUUUAAUUUUAAGAAUUUAAUUUUUGAGUUAAAAAGCUUAGAUUUAUUUGUUGGACGAGAAGACCCUAUAGAUCUUUAUAAUUCUAUAUUUUGAUAAUUUGGUGAUUUUAUUUAUUGUGAGUAGAAGAAUUAUUUUGUUGGGGUGACUGUAGAAUUUUAUUAACUUCUAUUAUUUUUAUUUCAUUGAUUGGUGUUUUUUUGAUCCAUAUAUUUAUGAUUAAAAGAUUAAG
rnacentral:rRNA from 1 species